AAUUAACAACCUUCACAUUAGAACGUAUCCGGCAGUGACGACCAACUACAGAUCGCUUCACACUACACUUAUCACCCAUUUGUGAACCUUCUCCCAACAUACGAUGAGGUCCCACCUACAGCCAUCAACUACUCUAUAAGUACAAAGAUAAAUUUUUGGAUUGGGAAACUGGAAUAUAAAAAGCCAUCAACCUAACAUGCCGUUACAAACCUUCUCAUUAAACAGAUGUAUUAUAUCUAAUCCUAGAAUAAGGCAUCAUUACUGAAAAUAGUUGGUUGUGUUUGCAAAGCAUAUUGUACUUUUUGAACCAAGCUGUGCUGAAGGAUGGAUG
rnacentral:misc_RNA from 1 species